CUAGUUUAUAUAAACAAAAGUGCUACGUUCUUUUAUAAAUAGAAUUGUAUAAAUAAACACAUAAUUUGACUUAAAUUAAAUUUCAAAAUUAUACUUAAAAAUCAAAUUAAAAGUUAAUUCAACUCUUUCAAACACUUUCAAUAUAAUGUAAAUGGAUUUUUAUUAUUAUAUGUUUCAUUUCAUCUCCCUGUUAUAUAUAAGUUAAUCACGGUAUUUUAUUAUGUAAAAAAAAUACAAGUCCCAUGUAUAAAGGAUAAUAAUCUCCUUCUUAUUCCCUACUUCCUAAAUACAAAAUAAUAAUAAUAAUAAUAAUAAUAAUAAUAUUAAACACUAUAUAAUCUUUCUCCCUGUACAAAUAGGGGUAGAUCAAACUCUAGAAUCAUCACUCCCAUGUAUUUUGUACACAAAACAACAAUUUCACAGAAUCAAUGCUUCAAAAUGAUCAUCAGUGAAAGUGCAACCAAAACUCCGAUCACCGGCGCCGCGGAGCUCGAAACAGAUCCUGCGGCUCCAGCGUCGGGAGUUGGCGCCGGCGGCAGGCCAAAGUCUUGAGCAUUGACGGCAGCAAAGAAGAGAGCGAUGAAGAGGAAAAGGGCUGAGAAGGUUGGCAUGGUGAAGAAGAAACUGAAACGGUUAUGGAAAAUUGAAAAUUUUGAAAAGUAGGUAAGUGAAGAAAGGAAUUGAGGAAGCUAUUUAUAGGAAUUAAGGAGGUGGAAGAAAACGUGGACACGUGGCAAGCGAAGAAGGGACUAAAGUGUGAAGGUG
rnacentral:lncRNA from 1 species